rfam:Fukomys damarensis contig133083, whole genome shotgun sequence.
GUCUACGGCCAUACCACCCUGAACGUGCCCGAUGUCUUCUGAUCUCGGAAUCUAAGCAGGGUCGGGCCUGGUUAGUACUUGGAUGGGAAAUACAUCUUAAAUGGCACCAGUGCUAAUUAUG